rnacentral:rRNA from 1 species
CCUACGGGAGGCAGGAGUGAGGAAUAUUGGUCAAUGGGCGAGAGCCUGAACCAGCCAAGUCGCGUGAGGGAGUACUGUCCUAUGGGUUGUAAACCUCUUUUGUCGGGGAGCAAAAGCCGGACGUGUCCGGCUGUGAGAGUACCCGAAGAAAAAGCAUCGGCUAACUCCGUGCCAGCAGCCGCGGUAAUACGGAGGAUGCGAGCGUUAUCCGGGUUUAUUGGGUUUAAAGGGUGCGCAGGCGGAUUUUUAAGUCAGCGGUAAAAUCGUGGGGCUCAACCCCAUCCAGCCGUUGAAACUGGGGAUCUAGAGUGUGCGAGAGGUAUGCGGAAUGCGUGGUGUAGCGGUGAAAUGCAUAGAUAUCACGCAGAACCCCGAUUGCGAAGGCAGCAUACCGGUGCACAACUGACGCUCAGGCACGAAAGCGUGGGUAUCGAACAGGAUUAGAUACCCUUGUAGUC